GGCUCGGUGGUGGAAGGUCCACGGCUUCUUUCCAUGAUGGUAAUGGAGGACAGGUUAUGCAGAAGGAGCUCGUUCGAUUCGAGCCCGAGCUG